rnacentral:lncRNA from 1 species
AACCCCCUCUCAUGGAGGGUGGUGACGGGGAGAGUGUCCCGACUCAACAGCCGCUGGACGAGGACGGCACACAGGGUACCCAGGGAUGAAAAACGGGCUCUGGGAGGCCGUCGCCGAGGCCAGCUUCCGCCAGAACUCCACAGGGAACGACGGCUUCCUCCAGGCGGUCGAUGCUCCAGGAGGCUGAGGGGUCGAAGCGAGCGGCGACGGCAGAAACCGCGCCACCGCAGGACAGGGCGCAGAGGGCCCCUCCGGAGGCAGGAUCACGGAGGUGGCCGACGACGCCAGAGGCAGCGCCACCCCCGCGGCAGGCCGCGCCAGGGGCGAGGCCACCAGUCCGGCCGACAAGACGAGGACCGACGUGGAACCAGCGACGAAGACAGAAGCGUCGCCAGAGCCAGGACCAGAGACAAAGCUGGGACCGGAGACGAUGACGGGACCGGAGGCGGAGCCAGGACCAGAGAUGAUGACGGGACCGGAGACGAUGACAGACGUGGCGCCAGAGCCGGGACCAGAAACGAUGACGGGACCAGAGACAAAGCCGGGACCGGAGACGAUGACAGGACCGAAGACGAUAAAAGACGUAAAGACGGAGCUGGAACCAGAGACGAAGCCUGGACCAGCGACGGAGACAGACGUGGGGAUGAGACCGGAGCCGGGCCGCCAGGAGCAGAUGCAGAGGCGACCGGAGCCGGGCCACCAGGAAUCGAUGCAGAGGCGGCAGGCACCGGGCCACCCGGAACCGAUGCAGAUGCAGCAGGCGCCGGGCCACCAGGAAUCGAUGCCGAUGCGGCCGGAGCCGGGCCACCAGGAAUCGAUGCAGAGGCGGCAGGCACCGGGCCACCCGGAACCGAUGCAGAUGCAGCAGGCGCCGGGCCGCCAGGAAUCGAUGCAGAUGCGGCCGGAGCCGGGCCACCAGGAAUCGAUGCAGAGGCGGCAGGCGCCGGGGCAACCGAAACCGAUGCAGAUGCAGCAGGCGCCGGGCCGCCAGGAAUCGAUGCAGAUGCGGCCGGAGCCGGGCCACCAGGAAUCGAUGCAGAGGCAGCAGGCGCCGGGCCAACCGAAACCGAUGCAGCAGGUGCCGGGCCGCCAGGAAUCGAUGCAGAUGCGGCCGGAGCCGAGCCGCCAGGAACCGAUGCAGAGGCGGUGGGCGCCGAGCCGCCAGGAGCUGAGACGAGCGUGGCCGGGACCGGGCCACCAGGAGCUGAGAUGAGCGUGGCCAGGACCGGGCCACCAGGAGCUGAAACGAGCGUGGCCAGGAUCGGGCCACCAGGAGCUGAGACGAGCGUGGCCGGGACCGGGCCACCAGGAGCUGAGACGAGCGUGGCCAGGACCAGGCCACCAGGAGCUGAGACAAGCGUGGCCGGGACUGGCCCACCAGGAGCUGAGACGACAAGAGUUAAGACGGUCGUGGUCGGACUGCUGGGAGCUGCCUCUGCGGACCUGGUCGGACCACUGGGAGCUGCACCUGCAGACGUGAUCCAUGGCAGGCCACCAGAUGUAGAUGCACCUCCCGGAACGGAGACAAAAACAAAAGUCUCUGCAGGACCACCAGGAACUGCAGCAGGAACGACCCCCUCCUGGAGGUCGUGGGGAACCGCGGCAGGAACCGCGGCAGGCGUGACCUCCUCCUGGAGGUCGGCGGGGACUGCGGCAGGAACUCCAGCUGGCGCAACCUCCCCCUGGAGGUCGGCGGGGACUGCGGCAGGAACUCCAGCUGGCGCGACCUCCUGCUGGAGGUUGGCGGGGAUUGCCCCUCCGGGGCUGAUGUGGUGGAAAUUUUCCAUAAAGAAGCAGAUGAGAGAGUUGUCCUUUUGUGCGAUUUAUUGA